GGUCCGGCGCUGGCUCCGCUGGAGUGCGAGCGGGGCAGCCGCUUAUUCGGGUGUCCCGGCGCGGUUUUUUGUAGUGUGCACCCCGCGAACGAGCCAUCCCCGUGGGAAGAAGUAUUGAAAAAAGGGCUGUCCGGGCUAGUCCCGGCGAGCUCCUUGGGAGCGCCUUUCCAAGUUGUAGGAACCACGACGGACGUUUGUCCCGCAGUGAGGGUGAGCACGGUGGCACUGCCCAGGAGGUUAAAUUCACGCCCUCCCAGUGUGCCGCAGUCUGUCCAUGCUCACGGAUCCCGAGGAUGGCCGGUGUUAGGAAGUGUGGAUAGCAGUGAAGUACCUGCUGUCCACCACUUUCUUCAUUUAACUGCCCCUUGGGGUCAGCUGCUUGUCAGCAUGCCUUCAACCGAGAGCACCUCAAAGCUUUUCCUGGUCCUCGUGUCACUGCUGCUGGUGCUGCCAGUAGUUGAAGCCCUGGACGCAGGAGAUACCAUUGCCUUCCUCCUAGGCCUCGCUGUCAGUGUUGUCGGAUUCUGCGCCUGCCUUGGCUUGUACGCAAGGAGAAGGAAUGGACAGCAGUGACUUCAAGAAAAUGCUCAGAUGAAAUGAAUUUCUGAGCACAGCUUGGGGUUGGGUGUGACUGAGCUUUGGUUCUGGAAAACUUUCAAAAAAAAUGUAGUAGAUAUUUCUGCAAACCCCUCUUAUUGUUCAGUACAACAGAGUCAAGACAGUACAUGACUGUAUUAGUAAAAGGCAUUUGUAUGAUCUGUCCUCAUUACAAAAAGAUAAUUUGUGUUUGUGAUUAAAUUGCCUUAGAGAAGGGUAAAAACUUUUUGAAUGGGGAAGUAAAACUAUAGAGAGGCUCACAGUAAGAGUUUAUAAAUUUAGCAUGUGAGGGAGGCCAUCAACAAGUUCCAUAAUUUUGGUUUCAAUAUUAAAUCAGGAGGAAGCAGCUAUUAAUCUUCCAGUCAAGAUGACAAGAGUUUUGAAAUUAGUCCUAACUAGAUAGCGAGCGAGCUGCUCUAAACUUGUGUGCUCAUGCUCACAUUCUCUGUAAUGACAGUUAACACCUAACAGCUCACUUCUGCUGUCACAUGGAUGAGACUUAAGAGAACUAAGGAAACAUGAAAGGCUUUUUUUUUUCUUUUAGAAUAUUUUUAGAGUAUUUUUAUUUUAGAAUAUGCCACUCCUGUAGCCUGUAUUCUUAUUACCAAGCAGAUACACCUAAGAAUGAGAUCAUCAUUUUUACUUAGCAUGUAUUUCACAGAAAAGUACAUGUAAGGCUUUGUAAAUCAGAUUAGGAAUAUUGAUUUUUGUCUCUUGUUUAUUUUUUGUACUCAGCUUUUUUCUAGGUACACCAGGUUUAAGGCUUAGUUCAUUUGGUGUUUGCACUUUUUCUCCAAAACUGAAGACUUAACUAUUUUAAUGAAGAAUUCUGUGUAUUUCUGUAUUAGAAGGUUAUUUGAACUAUACCAAGAGCAUUGUGCACAUGUUUCUUUUACAAUGUAGAAAGAACUUGCUAAAAUUCUGGGUUUAGUCAUUUAGUCCAUUGUUCUUGUGUAUUCCUCGUGACAAACCUAUGUUGCUAGUUAAACAUUUAGGCUUCUCUAACUGAUGCAUAUGACUUCCACAGAAGACUGGGACCAAAACCAAAGUAAAAAACUCUGGUGCAAAAUUGGAGAUGUAAAUAGUCUUAUUCUAUUCAUGUUUAGUCAGAUUGUGUGGUAUAUGGUUGAAAGACAGUAGUGUGUCUGUUUCUUUAAGUACCAAAGGUGAAAUGGCUCAGCCAAGAAUGCCUGCCAUAAGUCUCUCUGACUUAGGGAGUUCCAGCUCAAGCCAAGGAGCACAAUCUGUAACAGCAGCAGAAUAAGGAACAUAGGAAGAUGAGCUCUCUGCUGCUCAAAGAAUUUCCUUCUGAUCUUGUGCUGUGGACACUGCCACUCUUUGCUAGAAAUCUUGGCUUUUAUCUUUCAGAGUUAUAUGUUUUGAUACUAUUCUUCAACUUCUUCUGUGCCUCUGUUCAGUAGAGCACAAAGCAAUGGCUAUGGGCAGGUCUUAUGUAAGUAAUUGUAAGUAAUUGGCUGGGCAGCUCAUGUUCUACAGAUCCUGAUUUCUGCAUGCCAUUUUUGGAAGAAAGGGACAGAAUGCACAAUUACUAGGCAGAAAUGAAAUUUACAGCCCUAAGACGACCUUCAGAAAGAAGUAUCACCUUUGAAAGCUGCCUAGCAGGAGUAGAUGAUCCUGUUUGUGAUAAUUCAACUGGGUGGUGCAAGCACAGAUUGAAGUGUGAUCUUUGAUGUUCCAGCUUAGCAAAACAAAUAAAAAGGAAAAAAAAAAAAAACCA
rnacentral:lncRNA from 1 species